rnacentral:rRNA from 1 species
AUUAAACGCUGGCGGCAUGCCUUACACAUGCAAGUCGAACGGCAGCACGGGGGGAACCCUGGUGGCGAGUGGCGAACGGGUGAGUAAAGCAUCGGAACGUGCCCUGGAGUGGGGGAUAACGUAGCGAAAGUUACGCUAAUACCGCAUAUUCUGUGAGCAGGAAAGCAGGGGAUCGCAAGACCUUGCGCUCUGGGAGCGGCCGAUGUCGGAUUAGCUAGUUGGUGGGGUAAAGGCCUACCAAGGCGACGAUCCGUAGCGGGUCUGAGAGGAUGAUCCGCCACACUGGGACUGAGACACGGCCCAGACUCCUACGGGAGGCAGCAGUGGGGAAUUUUGGACAAUGGGCGAAAGCCUGAUCCAGCCAUGCCGCGUGAGUGAAGAAGGCC